CUCCAGGGGCAGGUGGGGAUUGUGGGGUCCUGGCCGUGCUUCCUCUGACACCUUUUAAAGACACAGCCCAAGACAGGGCGUGUGGAGCCCGCCGAGCUCCAGGAGCAGGAAUAAUUCUGGGCAGCACCUAAAGGUUCUGCACAUUAACCCGACAUCGCCCAGUCCCCAUGCAGGAGUGCAGCCUUUACUGGUUUACAAUUAGCUUCAGGCAAAUUUACAUUGUAUUUGCUGCAAGCAAAGCCCUUGUAAGCAACAUUUUGGUGUAAGGUUUACUCUUUUUAAUUUUGGACAAGGUGGUGAAAGAUGUGCUUCUUCCACCUUUAGGUUUCCUGAGCCUGACUUGCCGCAGCUCUGGAUGUGUUCUGUGUUCGGUAUUCUUGUGAGCAUUUGGCACAAAAGUGCUGAGCAGCUUGUUGCUACUGGUGCCUGUUUCCCCCUGAAGCACACAGCACCUUUUUUAAUGUAGAGGAGUAGCAAUUAGUUGGCUAGUUAACUAGUUAACCCCUAACUAGUAGAAAAUAUUUGCCUAUUUAGUUUUCAUCUCAGUUAUAAAAGUGCAAAAUCAAAAAUAAAAGUUGUAGUCUUCACUCUUCUUGUCCUGUGAGAAGCUUAGAAGCUGUUACAGAUUAAAUACUAGUCCAUUUGUUCAGUAUUAGUAAUGCUUGUGUUAGAGAAAAUACAGGCAUAGAGUGGGUUAUUCUGUAUACCUGGGUUAUUUUGUUUUCCCUUUUUAUGAGAUUUAUUUUUCGAAUAAUAACAUCCAGUUAGUCAGCUAUUGGGUGGACAGGCUGAAUAGAUUCCAACUUUAUAAAUGUUAAUGCAUGUUAUGAGUGGCCUUGAGUAAUAAUGGAUGACAGUACAGCAUUCAGUCAGAGGACGCCUGAACCACUCCAGUGCGACUCUGCUGUGUGCUCUGGGGAGGGCAGGUGUGCUUCUCAGUAAUAGAAGAGAAUCUGGUAAAUGCAAAAAGCUCCUGGGGAAAUGCACCCUUGUUUUUCCAAAGAACACAGCAGCAAAGGCUUAGAAUCACAGAACCACAGAAAGGAUUUGAUUGGAAGGGAUUUUAAAGAUCAUCUAGUUCCAACACCCCUGCUGUGGGCAGGGACACCUUCCACUACACCUGGUUGCUCAGAGCCCUGUCCAGCCUGGCUUUGAAUACCUCCAGGGCAUCCACAACUUUUCUGGGUGACCUGUGUGAGGAACUCACCAUCCUCCCAGUCAAGAAUGCAUUCCUCCUCUCUUUCAGUCUGAAUGCAUUCCACCUUCUCCUGUCACUCCAGGUCCUUGUGAAUAGUCCCUCUCCCUCUUCCUUGUAGCUCCCCUCAGGUACUGGAAUGCCAAAAUUGGGUCACCUCAAAAUCUUCUCCAGGCUGAGCAAUCCCAAUUUUCUCCACUGUUCUUCGUAGGCGAGGUGCUCCACCCUCAUAAUCACCUUCGUGCCCAUCUCUGGACUUGCUGCAACAGGUCCAAAUUCUUCCUGGAGAUGACUUCUCCUCCUAAUUAAGUUCCUUGACAUGUGUGGUGCCAUACCUUCAUUUAUGAAUUUUGUGGCUUUUCACUUCUGGGAAAUCCAAGCCUUAGUCCGCAGACAGUUUGUAGCCAUUAUUCAGAAAUGAGCUCUGCUAUGGAUGUUAAACUAGAAAAAGUGAAGCAGUUGUGGAUUGAUACUCAAAAACUGAAUGAGACAGCAGCAAUCCUCCAAUCUGGUACUUGUUGAGUUACCAUGAAUGAUACUUGUCAGAUGUCCCUGUAAGUAUGAGCUGACACUUGUUUGUUCCUUGCUAAUUUAGGCACAAGCAUUGUCUCAUAAAGUUGUGCAAUCCUUAUUGGAAAUAUACAGGCACUUUUUCAACCAAUGAUGAGAAUGAGAACUCAUCUGCUCUUCAUUUUAUUUGGUGCAAUUAUUUAACGUGUUCAUAUGACAUUUGGAAACUUUAACUGAAAUUAGUCUCUCUUAAAUGUGUUUGUCACUAAGAUUUAAAUGGGUUCCUGUAUAUUUGUUUCACGUAGUGGAGGAGGAGGAGGGGAAGUAACAUUUGAAAGUUAUCACUGCUUGCCUAAAAGCGUACAAAUGCUACCAUAUGUCCGGAGGUUUUAUAUCAUUUAUUAAGAUGAGAAAAUAACCUAAGCAUUCAUACUUUGAACAAGAUAUCUAAAAGUGAAAUGAUACUGUAUUUUUGUGAGAAUGAUACUGUACAGUCUAUUCAGUGUAGGAGAGGUCGGAGUGGUUGAUUAUCUCUAGACACAACGUUGCCAAAGAACAAUAAAUCAGAUAUUUUUAAGCUACCCUGUGAACAGGAAUACUUUAAUGUUCCAGCACCACUUGCCUUUCAGGCUUGACUGAGCAGACAUAUUUUAAGAUGUUUGUUAGAGUGUAUUUUUAACUUAACCUGCUUCCCAGAAUAUUUAAUUGUGGAGGCGUCUAAGUGGUUAGCUGUCCUGGACCUAAGUGCAGGACACUCAGAGCCUGCAGGAAAUCAAAAGAUUCCUGGGCAUGGGGUAUAAUAAUCCUGCCAAACUUCGCUGCAUCUGUGUCACAGGAGGGCUGCUGUGGGGCAGGAAGGUGCAAGCAGAAAUCCAGGAAUACAGAAAUGUGCCACCUUCCCUUAUGUGUGGAUUCUGCAUGUGCAGCCAGAAUGCCCUGGGAGUCCUGAUGCUCCAUGUGCAGACACACUCUGGCUUUGGGAAGGGUUUAACCAAAGGAUUCUCCUUGUGAAAUGGGUGCUGGGGCAAGGGACAUUCAAUAACAGAGCUGAUGACGUCUGUGACAUGAAGGAAGGAAGAUGUGCUGACCACUUCUUGUCUGCUCUUGGAGGGUUUUAGUAGCUGCUCAUGUGUUUUACCAGCAGAGAUCUAUGAAUGGGAUCUUCAGGCUGCUGAGCAAACAGGAAGCUUAAAAAGCUUUGAUGAGGAGUUACCAAGGUGCCACUUUUGGGAGUAUUGGUCAGACAAACACUGAAAAGAUUGUGCAGAGCUCCCAGUGUGCCCAUUUCAUUGUAGUAAUGACUGUGAUGCAACUCUCUUUACAAAGCAGGUGGGUGCACAAGAAGAAGGAAAUGUUAGGGGUAGAGAAUGUUCAUCCUUGUGAACCUGUCAACUGCUUCUGGAGCUUUCUUUUUUUGGGUGGGUUUUUGUUGGUUUAGAGUUUUUUUAGUUUGGGGUUUUUUUCCCUUUAGCUGCUGCUCUGCUGUUGAUGAUCCCUCCUACAUACACAGACACACAUCCCAUGCUGGUCUUUCCUCUCCAGCUACAGGUUGAUAGGAUUUCCACAGGAGUGUUUCACAAUUGUCCCUAAGUGUGUGUGGGUGAUAAUCAGACAAGGGAUAUUAUCUGCCAGUGCCAUAUUUGCCAAUUCCCUCCCUGAGAAACCCUGUAAGCAAAGACUCAGCCAGCACAGCCUCUCACACAGUGAUGAUUUCAGGGUGGAUAACAUGAGGAUAAGGCAAUCUCUGCUCUUUCUCCAAGUCCUGCCUAGCCAGAUCACCAGAAGAUUUUCCUUAGGACAAGAUAGCCAGCCUAGAGUAGAAGAUUUAGUAUUGCUGGAGUGAUUUUUGUUUGGAAGAGAAUGUUUCUGUUGAUCUUCUCCACAUGUGUGCAGGGUAGUUCUUCAAGAUGUCAUUAGUGGUCAUUUUUUGCAAGAGAAAAGGUUCUGCCCAAGCAGACUUGGCCCCAGUCAUGUCAUAGCAGCCAAGGGAAAUGCAAAAAGCAUUUACCAUAAAAUGGGGUGAUGUACCCAGACCUGGCCAUUCAGGCAGGUAACAAGAGGUCAGCAUUGUCCCUGCUAAAGCACCUGAUUGCUGAGCAGGUCUGGGUCACCUGUCAGCCCUGGUUUUGGAUCUUGCUUGGCAGCAUCUGCAGAGGGAUCUGGGGCUGCCUGUGGAAGCUCAGAACCAUGGGUUAGGAAGUGAAGUGUCUCCUCCUCUGUAGGAGGAGCUGAUUCUUGCUGUGUUCUGCAUCUCAAUUCUAGGUGAAGUCUUACUGGGACUUCUCCAAGCCAGGCUCCCCAUGUUUUGUCAGGCAGCUCCUUGCAGAGCUGAUUGUGCUGGCUCUUUUGAUCACUAAUGUCACACACAGGGGUUGGAAAGAGUGGUAUGACAGACCAGACUCUGCUUUUUAAGGUACGUGUUGGCAGUUUUGCUCAGCACCUUUCAGGGACAGUCAUGCUCAGGUGUCCAGGCUGCCUCUGGUGCACCCUGUGGGGAGGAACCUGUUGGAUCCUAGGUUUUCUAUCUGUCUUUUAUCUUUUAGCAAGAAGUCUUACCUCAGCCUCUCUCUUUUUUUUUUUUUUUUUUAAUAUAGAAUACAUUUCUUAUUCAUUCUUAUACAUUUCUUACAUGCACUCCACAUGGAAGUGCAGGUGUGUUGUCAAAGUUGUAUGCAGAUUAUUCAGCACAGUGAAGUAACUGCAACAUACUUUCACAUGAUUCCAGAGGUGGAGGAAUUCCAUGCUGGCUGAGCAAUACAGCAUUUCUCAACCUUAGGAGCAAGGGAAUUUUGUAAGGUGUGUUUGUUUUUUUUUUUUUUCCCCUCAGUAAUAGGGCUUGAUUUGUUUGAACUUUAAUAGUUGGGGUAGAAAAAGGCAACUGGCUGCAUCCCAUUUUUCAUCUCAGAGAACUUACACAGUAUUACUGCUUGUAAAUUUUAAGUGAUGUUUAGAUUGUUAAAGAACAAAGUGAUUAAAUUAUAUUAUUUGGAUCCUCUGAAGUCUUUCUAAAGAUCUGAGUGUUGUUUGGUUUCGGUACGCUUGCUUUAGUGUUUGGUUAGGGCUCUUCAUAAACAAAAUACAAACAUUAUCUUUAUUACUCACAGUGCUGCUGCAUACUUGCGGUUUAGGUUUUGCCAACUAUUUGCAUUGUAUAGCCACAGACUCUGUCUGGGUGGCAUAAACAAAAACAAAGCAUUUCUGUUCCUAUCAGGACUUGUUUUUUCAAUGAGGCACAUUAGUGUAUUGUUAGGUAGAGAGGUAAGAUUUUGUGUGUGUGUGUGUGUGACUCUCCUCGAGUCUGAAGUGGCAAAAAACCACAUCAGAAUAGAUUUAUGUGUGUCUUAUUAGCUGUGAGCACCCACAGCAUGAUUAAUGCUCUGCAAGAGAGACAGACAAGGCUGUCUCUGCCCCUAGAAGCUCACAGUCUAGCACUGAUAAGACUUGCCUUGUAAUUUAGGAGGUGUGAAAUUAAUUUUGCGUUUAUUAGUAUUGUGACCCUCCUCUGGAUGCAGUUCUGGGGUGCAGAAGCUGUUGCAGGCACAUGAAUCAGCCUGCACUGGUUUCACUAAUCCAUGCAAAUCAAAUGCCUCCUGUUAGCUCUGUAAAAGGUGCCAGAUCAGGAUUGUCUGUGCUAAGACUUCUCUCUCCUGAAGCCUGCCUUGAAACAAAUUUCAAAUAAUGUGUUUCAGGAAUUGCAGCUAAUUUAAAAGCUCACAUGUGCAUCCAUUAUGAAGUCACCAAAACUCAUAAUCCUGGACUUCUUUUUAAAUUUAACAGGCCAGGAAUAAAAAUUGCACUGGAGGGCAAGCAAUAGUUUGUACCUGUGGCCACCCUGUGCCUAUGAGUUCUGAAAGAAAGAAGUUCUAUAUUUUAUUAUGAGUGCUGUGUUACGUUCCUGACUACAAUUGUGAUUUCCUCACAUCCCCACACACUUCCCCUUCCUCUAGCUUUUCUUCAUAGGAUUGGAGAAACAAAAUGUGUAAUUGUGGAGAAAUAUUUGUUCUUCGUUCUUGAUCAUGUUCCCAUCCCAUGCUUCAAAUUGUAUUUGCAAGUGUUGGCAUUUUCAAAUGGAAUUUCCUAUCAUCUUUUCUUGAACUGCUCCAGCAAUUCUGAAAAAUGUGAAGGAUGUGUGGACUUUUUUGAAACCAAAACAGAAUUUCAGUAUUUAAAGGCUACUUUCAGAAAUAUUUCUUAAGCCAUUAAAGUAAGUAAAUAGUAAUAAUAUGUGUACUAAUUUAAAGCCAUUGCAUUUACAGGAGGUUUUCUACAAAAAUCUGUAGUAUUUUGAUAAAUCCCUAAAAAUUUUGCUAAGUGCAUAAGUAUACGAUUUUCUAUACUUGGAUAAAAGUUACUCUCUACUCUUAAUAUGGUUUUGUAGCCAAGUGCCUAGAUACAAGGCUCUUUUUGUCACUGAGAUGGUUGAGAAGAGCUGGUAGAAAAGAUCUGUUCUAGCAGCUACUUUAAAAUCUCAUAGCUAAAAUAUUAUUGCUAUAUUGUAUAUAGUAAUAAUAUUUAAAAUGUUAAUAUCUGGGACUAAAGUGUAAGAGCUUUUCUGUUUAGUGUCUGAGAAUGUUACUGCUCUAAUCAAUAUUGGUUUAGAGUAAUUUUUUGCCAAAGAAAAAUGUUCUUUUCCUUUCUGUACCUUUCUAACACCUGCAAGAAAUGGCAGCUAUUUGCCAUGGAAAGCUGUUAAUUAACUUUACCAAGUGGUGUAUAUCAUCUCUAGGACAGUUAAAAGUCCCUACUAAGCUCUGCCAAAAUAAGGAGGAUGGACAUUUGAGAAGUUUGGUUUCUACACAGUAGUUGAGAAAUAAUUUAACCAGAAAUGUAAAAAAGCCCAACAACCCACGGCCUGUGGUAAUCUAUUGUGUAAUAAAUAAAGAUGACCACAGCUAUGGUAAAAAUGCUGAUUUAUCCUUCAGGAAGAGAUACUAAGCAUCUUCUCUGGUUAACUUCUGGCAACUUGCAUUUUAUUUCUACUGGGAGCUUAUUCUUCAUUGCAAGUAAAGUUAGGGAACAUCAGUGAUUUUUGUCUUGAGGCAAAUGAGGGGAAAUUGGCCUUCUUUGAGGUUGUGGAUAUAAAAAAAAAAAUUUGUAUAUCCUUAUUAUACCACAAUAAUACUGGUUGCCACUGUGACACUGAUCUCCUUGCAGGAGAGUUUCUAUUGCUGUGUUUUGAGGGAUUUUUAAGGAUUGAUGGAGAGUUUCAAUUGCUGUGUUUUAGAGAGUGAUUCCAGCCUGUGCUGUUGUCCAGUAAUCCUUCAGUCCUGGGUGGUUAUGUCAAAGACAUCUUCUGAGUUAUUUUGUUCUCCCUCACACGUCCUGCAUGUGAGGUGAGACUGUGAGAUGCUGUAAGGCUGGGAUAAUCCAUAUGGGAUGUUUUGAAUCUGCAAAGUUGUCUGGGCUUUUCUCCUACCUGGCAGAGGCUUGGGUGAACCUGGGUACUGAGUGAUGCUGAUAAAAAAGGAGGAACAGCUUCCACGAGGUAGCAAGGAUGUUGUUGGGCCAGCGACUUUGUUUUUGAGAUGGUCAAAGGGGGUUUUCCAGAAUGGCUGAGGGAAUUGUCUUCCAUUUUCUUCCUCCCCCCACACACAGCACUGGAAAGUCACAGCAGCUGCAGUGGACUCGACAGAAGUUUUCUGUCUGUCUGGGAAUCGCGUCCUUAAGGCUCGUGGUUCAGCUGAAUUCCUGAACAUGCUGUACACCCGUCCUUUAUACAGAGAGUUUUACUGGGCACGUGCAAGAGAAUUACUAUGGGAAAGAUCUGGAGUUGUUUAGGGGGAGGAAUUGAUUCCAAAUGAUGCCUUGCUGAGGCUUUAUUGUGUUUUUCAGACAGGGAAUUAAAUAACAUUUUCUCCAUCCUAGAAGCUUGGAGGCAAACUUUUUAGUUAUCAAAAUCCUACUAGUAGGAUUUUCCUUGCUAGUACGAAAAUACGUAUAUCAUUAGUUAUCUAUGUAACUAGUAAUUAAUAAUGCAUAGGUUUGUUCCCCAGUAUUUGUGUUGGCCUCUUUAAAAGAGGUUUUAUGGUCUAAGCCCUUUAUGCUUUCCCCAGUGUUUCAUAGUUAAAUGGCUAUUCCAAAGUGUAAAAAAACCAGUGUUCAACACUCAUUUUUCCAUGACCUUAUCUCACUAUUAUAGGCAAAGACAAAGGGAUAUUGAGUGUUUUUCUGUUUGGCUUAUUCACUAAAUAAGUUGUCUUUAUUAGGUUGCCUAAUAAAACAUCUGUGCUAAGGUGGUAAAUCAUGUAUUCCCUGAACUUACAUCCUUGAGCUAGUUCUACCUGAAGAGACUACAUGUAGUCUAAUAUCUAAUUUUCAUUAUUAGCAGCAGUCUUUUUACCACUGGAGCAAAAGGGCAUCUAACAGACAAAGAAAGAUUUUGUUCAAAGAUGCUCAUCUUUUCCUUGUUAUAAUAGGGGAAAAAAUUAAUAAGAAAAGGAAAGUAAUUGGAAGGUUUUAAUUCCUGUGAAUUUUAAAAUGGAUUUUAUUGAUUAACAAAAUUGCUGCAUCUUGCAGCAGAAACUUUUUACAAGAAGGCAGUAAUUGUAAUUAAUUUUUAGUCUGUGCCACAUAUUUGAUGAUAGCUCUGAUUCAUGCUAUUAUAUUCUCUCUUCCUUCACCCACAGCAAAACAAAUUUAAUUUGAUUCAUACCCUUACAAAAAAAAAAAAAAAAAAAAAAGAAAAAAAAAACCGACCAAAAUUACUCACAUGGUUAUGAUUCAGCUCUUGGCAUAAAACCCUGUCCUCCUCCAUCCUCCCCUUCUCCCACCCAAACCUCCCCCACCCUCACCCACUGUAUAUUUAUGUCACCGUAGUCUGAAAAAGUUGAUUUAGAAAUGGAGCAAAUGAAAUCCUUCUUCAAGCUGCUGUUUUACUUACGUUGAUAAAAGUCUUAACAAGACUUCCUUUUCACAAGUGCCAUAGAGGCAGCAGCAGAACUCUGGUUUUCUGGUUACUUUAGCAGACAACAGCACUACAUUGGUCUUGAGUCAUGUUUGCUUUUAGCAGCUCAGGAGAGCUGCAGCAAGUGAUGCUAAAAUUGGUCAAGUUCUUGUAUUUCUGAGUCUAUCUAUUGAAGAAAAAUUAUUUAAGAAGACCAUAUAUAGGGAUUUUUUUUGUUGAAGUGGAAUACCAGAAGACCUUACUUUAAUAUUAUUUGUUCCUUAAUUAAUAUUAAUUUUGUAUCCUUAACAAGCUUUUCCCCAAGAGCUGCAGUUCUUCCAUUACACAAAUGUGUAGCAGCGUGCUGUGUUUCCUACAAGGCUGUGGAUGGGUGGUGGAGAGCUCCUGUCUUCACCCACCGGUGGAAACACAAAUGUUGCAGUUCUGCCCAUCAUUGUGUCUGACAAGCCUUGUUCCCUGAGAGCUGAAUGCUGAGCACAGCUCGGGUUCUGUGAUCAGACACUGCGAGCAUUCAAAGGAGAUGUUUUAUACAUGAAAAAGAGAUGUUUACAGAGAGCUGGAAUGUAGAGGUGAUGCAGUCCAACAAUCCCAGUGGAAAUUAGGAGCAGCUCAGUGCCUGUGGAAACUGAUGUGUGUUAUGUAUAUAACACUGAGCACGGAGGGACUUCCUGCACGCUGAUGCUGUGAAUCAGUCACAGCAGGUACCAGAACUUGCAUAAGGUGGUGGGAAAAAGUGCAUUUUCAGCCAAGCAUGCUAAUACAGCCCUUCCACUUUCUCUAAAACAGACAAAUAGGGGAUAGCUUAAGAGGAAAUAUCAAAGAGAAUUAAAUUUUAAGGGUUUUUUGUUUGUUUGUUUCUUUGUUUUGUUUGGCUUUUUUAAAUAAAAAGGUUCUCAGAGCCUAGAUCACUUGUUUACGCAAAAGGAAAAUAAACAAACAUGGACUUGCUCACUUUCUAGUUAAAUGACACGUGUUUAUUUAUAUCUGUGCUUACAAUCUUUACUUAUUCAAUAAUAUUGACAGGGAAGGAGAUCUUUAGAGGAGAAAAGAGAAAAUUCGUUUCUUCCUCCUCUUCCUAACAUCUGCAUCGUGCUAUAAGGAAAUGAUAUGUACAUUCACAGGCGUCCAUGGUCUGUGACUUUUCCUGGUUCACACGUCCCAGUGGUGAUGGGAGCUUCCCCUUGGGCUGGGCUCUUCCCCUCCGGCAGAGGAGAGCCUUCAGUGCAAUUAGCAUUGAGGGUGGUGGCACUUUGCUGGGGAGCUCACUCCCUUCCUCAGGGAAACACGAGUCUGCUUUUUUCCCCCAGUCCUGAGAUCUUCAGAUCUUCCACAUCUUCAGUCCUGCUCACAAAGUACUGCUGUAAAUAAACCUGACCAAGAGUGACAAGUGGGCACAUGUGGUCUCUGCGCUGCCUUUUCCUCUCCCUCUCCUGCCUCAUGGCUUUGUGUGAGAUGGGAACUGUCUAGCUUGGCUGUCUGACUCCCCUGGGGAACAGGAGUCCCUGAGGUGUGGUGGGUGGUGGCCUUUGGCAGCACUGUAGAGUGCUGAAAUCUUGACAGGAUCAGUCCCUCUCACCCAUGUUGUCAGCUGGAUGGCCUCUGUGUCCAAUACCCCAGUGACCAUGUCCAGUACCAGUGCUCUCCUACCCCUGUGUCCAAUACCAGUGACCAGUGUCCAGUAUGAGUGUUAUCCUGCCCCUGUGUCCAAUACCAGUGACCAGUGUCCAGUAUGAGUGUUAUCCUGCCCCUGUGUCCAAUACCAGUGACCAAUGUCCAGUAGCAGUGCUGUCCUGUCCCUGUGUCCCAACACCAAGCAUCCCAAAAGCAAUCAGGCAAUUUAUCUCUCAUGUUUGGACCAAGACACAUAGGUGAGAAAAUCAGAAGAGAAAAAUAUUUGGGAGAGGAUGAUUGAUAACUACAGUAGGAGACAGUCACUACUCAAACAGAAGAGAAGCAGGCAUCCUGAGGAAAUGGUCAGAAGAGGGAGAAUAGGUGGGAGAUUUUGUCUGUGAGGGUGCACAGAGCAGGGUGAAGAGAACAUUGCCUUCCCUUGCAUGUUCCUUAUUCUCUGCCUUCCUGCUCUAGUUGAGUUUCUGUGUUAAAGCACGCAGAGAACACCACAGGGGGAAUCCCGAUGAACUUCAGUCAUGUCUGAAUGGCCAAGCUGGUGAAAUCAGACCAUCACUGCCAGCAAUUCAGUGAUGCACCUUUCUGCACUCUCAGUCUGCAGUAGGAUGAAAGUCUCAGCCUCUGACCCUCAAAAAAACCACCCAAAAAUGCCACAACCACCAACUAUACUAACUUUACAAAAAAAAAUAUUUCUCAACAAUGCUGAAAGCACUUCUUACCCCAUUAGAAACCAGCUGCUAUAAUUUUUCAGUGUUCUGGUUCUGCCACAUAGAAGGUGACUGUAGGUGAUCCAGCUCAGCACUAGGUUGGAAUGAGAUGCACAGUGUGCUCCAGGAGAUGUGGCAUGGCACAGGGAGCCAAGAGCUCCUUAGGUGCAGCUCACUUCCUGAUGGAAACUUCUGUGAUGUUGGUCAAGACAUUUUAAGUGUUCCUGGCCUCUCAUUUUCUAAAGGAGACUAAAGAUUACCGUUUCACAGGGAUAUUAUGAGGAUUUACCUUAAAAUGCACUUCUGAAGUAUUUAUAAUGGUUAAUCAGCUUUUCCAUUAUGGAGUACUUAUGUUAUUUGGCUGGCUUCAGCCACACGAAUUCACACAAAUGCUAUACAUAGAAUACUUUGGUGGAAUAUUCUGUGUUUGGCUCAUCUGAGUCACGGUUUCCAUUCAAAAAGAACUGAUUGUUUCAAUCUAAAUUAUUUUCAUGAAGAACCUCAUAAUAAAUGCUUUGGGGAGAAUUCGGAGAUGGAGCAUGAUAAAAUUGUUAGCAUAAAAUAUCUCAUCAGAGUCGAAGGCAGAUAUGACUGCUGCCUACCAGCAAGCUGCAGAAUGGAAGAAUGGGGGCAUUUGUGGUAGAGCACAGGAAAAGGAAAAGCACUGUUCUAGCAAAGAGAGGACAAUGCAGAUCACUUCAUGUUGUGCCAGCAGCUGUCCCUGAAUAAGUUUAAGAUGGAAAUUUUGAAAAAAAAAAUGAAGGUCCAAACCAUCAGAAGCGACUUCUGGAACAACCUGUCAAUUGCAGGAGCUGUGAGGAAACUGAAACUUUUCUCAAAAUGGGGAUACAGUCACAUUUAUAGAGUCCUCAGGGAGGUGUUGGCUGAUUUGCUUUCCAGUUCCUAAUUUCUGCAGCUCCACCUGCUAUCUUAGGUCUCAGAUUCAAUGUUGCGAUCUAUCACUAAAGUUCCAAUGAAGGUGAACAGUGCUUCUCCUAUUUUUUAUGUUGAUAGAAAACCCAUGGAUAUUUUAAGAGAGAUUUAUUCACUGUCUGCUAAGAUGGAACAUGUUAUUCUCCAUAAACUAAUCUGUCCAUUAUUUAAAAUCACUUGCUGGCGUAAUGUUCACAGACAAGAUUUAUAAAGUAUUCUGAUCUCUUUAUUCUAAUCAAAUAACUUUAAAUCGAAGAUAAAAAGUACCCUCAAAAGCUUAAAACAUAUGAUCAUUUCCUUAAAAAAAUUACAGUAGAUGAAAAAAUUAAUAAUGAGUUUUGUGUGUACACAGUGUGAAAUUAUUAAGUCAUCUGCCUUUAAUUAAACAUAACAUUUUUGUUAUCCUCAUGCUAUUCUAGGAUAGGAUGUUUUUGUCAUUUUAUGGUUUUAUUGGUCAAUGGAAUAGUCCAAAAAUUUGAAAAUGUGGUUAGAUUAAUUUUCCCUUGGGUUUGACCUCAGUAAACUUAUCUUGUGGUCCAACUAGAUUUCUCUUUAGUGUAUUUGUUACCUCAAGACAGUUGUUGUGGGUUUAAUUGAUACAAUG